rnacentral:lncRNA from 1 species
UAAUAAAUGCUACAAAGCUUUCACAGGCCUUAGAAUUAUCAGAGAGAGAGACCAAAUUAUUUUUGGUAGUACUGCAGUAUUGGAUAUUGAGGAGCUAUAAUAUUUAAUUCACUGAGAAUUGACAAACUUUUGUUUGACAGGAUGUUUAAUUAUCAAAAACAAUCCAUUUGCUAAAUUACUGAGUGUGUGUGUGCAUGCACAUGCUGUAAAAAUAAAAGUGUAUUGUGCUUUGUGAUUUUUGUCAGUUCUCCACCAUCAGACACUUGAUUUUGAAGGGCGGGAACACUGGCUGCUGUGUGUCAUCUCUGCAUUUGAAGAUGAAAAUCUUAUUCUAACAGAAGCAUGCUACAAAAAGGGAAAAAAAGAGAUGAGAGAGAAAGCAGAAAGGGGAAAAGGAACAAAGAAAACAAAGACAAAUGGACAAAGAGAAUGAUCUGAUCAGCCUUGAGAAGUCACGCUGAGCCAACAUUAUUAGCACUCUGCAAAAUCAAAAGAGUCAGGACCAUUCUCCACCAAAUGGUCCCUUUUCUCCCUCACCUUUCUGGAUGUGGACCCUUGAUUACAGCACAUUCUCCUAAUUAUAAGAUCUACUUUGAACAUACUGCUUUAUUCCUAGAAAGCCAAUGGCCAUUAAUGACGUUAUCGCUGAAAUCCAUGAUCACAGGUGGGCAUUUGCAGUUUUAACAUGAGCUGUCUGUUCAAAGAGAACAUGUUUAAUAUUAUUUAAUAAGAGUUAUACAUUUUUUGGAUCCAUAGGGGAAUUCAUCUCAUUUCCUACUGAUGAAAUGAAACUUCUGAAGCUCCAGAGGGUCUGAAUGGAAAAAUGGGCUGAGUUCUCCUACUCAGAAACCUCUAUGUUCUCCUCUCUGCACAGAUGCGGUAUUUAUUCCAUUCAGUCUAUAUUAAACCUAA